UACGUAGGGUCCGAGCGUUAAUCGGAAUUACUGGGCGUAAAGCGCACGCAGGCGGUUUGUUAAGCUAGAUGUGAAAGCCCCGGGCUCAACCUGGGAGGGUCAUUUAGAACUGGCAGACUAGAGUUUUGGAGAGGGGAGUGGAAUUCCAGGUGUAGCGGUGAAAUGCGUAGAUAUCUGGAGGAACAUCAGUGGCGAAGGCGACUCCCUGGCCAAAGACUGACGCUCAUGUGCGAAAGUGUGGGUAGCGAACAGG
rnacentral:rRNA from 1 species